CGGAGGACUCCGGGUCCAGGACGCCUGUGCUGAGAGACGCCUUCCUGUUUGGCCUGGCCUUGAGUUAAGACAUGGUUCCUGCGGACCCUGAUUGCAUCAGAUACUGAAUGCCAGGUUAUUCAAGAUCAAUGUUCACCUCCUCUUCUGGCUACCAGACAAAUAAUGACGGUUGCGUUAUAGCCUAACUCAUUAGUGGCCUUAAAAAAGAGGAUAAAGGACAGACAUACACGGAGGGCAUCAUGUGACAACAAAGGCAAACUGGAGGGAUGUGUCAAUAAGCUAAAGAAUGCCAAGGACAUCUGGCAACAGCAGAAGUUUUCUCUAUGACUCCCACGAUUUGCAACAUGAGAUGGACUGGCAUGUGAAAAGACCAUAGCCCACAUGAUGGACAAGAAGGCAUCAUGACCUUGGUAGUGUCCUGGUUCAACCAAGUCUGUGGUAGAAAUCAGGUCAGCAUGACCCCCUUCAGAU